rnacentral:rRNA from 1 species
AGCGAACGCUGGCGGCAGGCCUAACACAUGCAAGUCGAACGAAGUCUUCGGACUUAGUGGCGGACGGGUGAGUAACACGUGGGAACGUGCCUUUAGGUUCGGAAUAACUCAGGGAAACUUGUGCUAAUACCGAAUGUGCCCUCCGGGGGAAAGAUUUAUCGCCUUUAGAGCGGCCCGCGUCUGAUUAGCUAGUUGGUGGGGUAAUGGCCCACCAAGGCUACGAUCAGUAGCUGGUCUGAGAGGAUGACCAGCCACAUUGGGACUGAGGCACGGCCCAAACUCCUACGGGAGGCAGCAGUGGGGAAUCUUGCGCAAUGGGCGAAAGCCUGACGCAGCCAUGCCGCGUGGAUGAUGAAGGUCUUAGGAUUGUAAAAUCCUUUCACCGGUGAAGAUAAUGACUGUAGCCGGAGAAGAAGCCCCGGCUAACUUCGUGCCAGCCGCCGCGGUAACAC